UACGAAGGGUGCAAGCGUUACUCGGAAUUACUGGGCGUAAAGCGUGCGUAGGCGGUUUGUUAAGUCUGAUGUGAAAGCCCGUGGGCUCGAACCUGGGAAUGGCAUUGGAUACUGGCAAGCCUAGGAAUGUGGUAGAGGGUGGCGGAAAUUCCCGGUGUAGCAGUGAAAUGCGUAGAUAUCGGGAGGAACAUCCGUGGCGAAGGCGGCCACCUGGACCAAGCAUUAGACGCUGAGGGCACGAAAGCG
rnacentral:rRNA from 1 species